rnacentral:rRNA from 1 species
CGGCAGCGGGGGAGCUUGCUCCCGCCGGCGAGUGGCGAACGGGUGAGUAAUACAUCGGAACGUACCCAGUAGCGGGGGAUAGCCCGGCGAAAGCCGGAUUAAUACCGCAUACGCCCUACGGGGGAAAGGGGGGGAUCGCAAGACCUCUCACUAUUGGAGCGGCCGAUGGCUGAUUAGCUAGUUGGUGGGGUAAAGGCCUACCAAGGCGACGAUCAGUAGCUGGUCUGAGAGGACGACCAGCCACACUGGGACUGAGACACGGCCCAGACUCCUACGGGAGGCAGCAGUGGGGAAUUUUGGACAAUGGGCGAAAGCCUGAUCCAGCAAUGCCGCGUGUGCGAAGAAGGCCUUCGGGUUGUAAAGCACUUUUGUCAGGGAAGAAAUCGUUUGGGCUAAUACCCCGAGCAGUUGACGGUACCUGAAGAAUAAGCACC